rnacentral:misc_RNA from 1 species
UUUGCGAGAUGUCCGUAACCGGAAGUUGAGGAGGAAUUAUCAGGGGUCGACACUACCCUCUCUUCGAGAAACCAACACCCUUGGGUGACAAAUGCGAUACAGAUAGCUCGUAUCGAAACGUGACUGUCCAUACGAAUUAGAGGCAAGAAAAGGACAAGGAUUGCAACUUUGAUGUAUCGCUCUCCGACGAGAAUCGACGACGAGAUGCGUUCGUGACCGGCAGAGCAAAUGCCUCGAAACAGUUAUCACGCUUAAUACUGUGCUACUGCUGCGUUCUUCCAUUUAGAUUAUGUUUGGCAAAAUUCUACUCUUCAUGAAUUUUUCUUUGCGUGCGCUUCAUGAAUCGAAUAAGAAG